UCUGCCUACUAGAAUUACUGGUAACAGGUGAAAAAUAACUUCUUUUCAGUAUGGGAAGGACACACUCGGUACUGCUGGGUUUGGAAAGAACCAGUCAAAGCAGUGUUGGCUUCCUGAAUCAAACAACACCACAGUACCUAUUUCUCCUGGGAGAGGUAGUGUUACAGCUCUUGGAUGUGACAGUGGUAUCUGAUUGUUCCCAGCUGCCGAUCCUUUGUCAGCAGAUUCCUACGCAUGGGGUAUGCCAUUAGCAGUACAGUAGGUACAAAUUCCAGAUCCCUUAAGGUGUAGCAGAAUGUUACUGACUCAGAGAACUGCUGGAACAAGACAGAAUCACUAAGAAAAAUGGCCUGAAUUAAUUCUCCAUGUUUUUGUAAGAGGUGUAAGCAUAUGAUUCUCAUAUAUCAGCUAUGCAUGUGGACAGGAGUUCCCAUACUUCUGAGGCUCAACCCACUUGGCAAAACUUGGUUAUGUGGGUGUUGCCAUUUCUACACAUAAGAACCAUUUCAUGUGAAAAUAUCCAAACCUGUAUAACAAAAAGAGUGAUUAAUUUUUUAUAAGAAUCAAUGGUGAUACCUUUUCCAGACAGAUAAUUCAUCAGCAUUCCUAAACUUUCCAGGAAAAUUUAUACUGUCC
ensembl:lncRNA